GACGAACGCUGGCGGCGUGCUUAACACAUGCCAGUCGAACGGAAAGGCCCUGCUUUUGUGGGGUGCUCGAGUGGCGAAAGGGUGAGUAACACGUGAGUAACCUGCCCUUGACUUUGGGAUAACUUCAGGAAACUGGGGCUAAUACCGGAUAGGAGCUCCUGCUGCAUGGUGGGGGUUGGAAAGUUUCGGCGGUUGGGGAUGGACUCGCGGCUUAUCAGCUUGUUGGUGGGGUAGUGGCUUACCAAGGCUUUGACGGGUAGCCGGCCUGAGAGGGUGACCGGCCACAUUGGGACUGGGAUACGGCCCAGACUACUACGGGAGGCAGCAGUGGGGAAUAUUGCACAAUGGGCGGAGGCCUGAUGCAGCAACGCCGCGUGCGGGAUGACGGCCUUCGGGUUGUAAACCGCUGUCGCCUGUGACGAAGCGUGAGUGACGGUAAUGGGUAAAGAAGCACCGGCUAACUACGUG
rnacentral:rRNA from 1 species